rnacentral:rRNA from 1 species
CGAGCAAUCUGCCCUUCUCAUCGGAAUAAGCGUUGGAAACGACGUCUAAUGCCGAAUACGACCUCCUUUCGCAUGAUCGGAGGUGGAAAGCUCCGGCGGAGAAGGAUGAGCUCGCGGCCUAUCAGCUAGUUGGUGUGGGUAAUGGCCCACAAGGCGACGACGGGUAGCCGGCCUGAGGAGGGUGACCGGCCACACGUGGGACUGAGACACGGCCCAGACUCCGACGGGAGCAG